CUCUCCACCUUUUCUGUAGGUUCCCUUCUGGUUCUGGAAGUAUGGAAUUAGGUCACACUGAAGAUUCUCUUCUCCGGGGUGAACAUUCCCAAUACUCUCAUCAUUUCCUCAUAGAGGUUCUCCAUCCCUCUAACCUGAACCUCCUCUAGGCUCACUCCAACAGCCCCGUGUCCUUCCUGUGCUGAGGACACCAGAGAUGAAGGCAGCACUGCCUGGACUCACCAGGAUGGAGCAGAGGGGCAGGAUGACCUCCCUUACUGUUUGCAGCACAAUCUACAGGAGUUGUUUAGAGUGAACCCUUUCAAAUAUGAACACCAUUGUUUCACUGAGACCCUCCUCCUGGACCUGCCCUAAAUCUCCUCUGUGUGCAGAGGGUGAAGGUGCUGGAGAAGAAAUGUGGAUGUGCUGCAGAAACCAUUGCAGUUGAAAGAAGAAGAAGCAGGUGAAAAGGUGGAUGGUGUCUUCAUCAAUAGGAAGCAAAACAUAACUUGAAUUAAGUGCACAUCAGCCAAUGAUGGUUGAGGUUAUGUAAAAUUAUAAAUAUUGACAAGAGAGACCAUGUCCUGCCUUGGCUGGCAGGUGAAGUCACAGAGAUAAGAGUUGUAUCAUCAGCUUUGGUUAUUUCAGUGAACCUGGUCAAAAGGAAGAGGUGAAAUUUGCUUCAUUGCUGAAGAAAAAUAAUCUUUCUUACCAUCUCUGGUUGCUGGUAGGUUGGGAAGGAAAUUUCUUUUUAGGUAACUUCAUCUGAGGUGUGAUGUCAUCUGUUAUACAUUUUUAAAUUUCCUUUGUAGUUAUAAUAAUGUAAUACAUUGUAAGCACGAUGCAUGUUAGAUCUGCACUUCAUUCUCUGUUGAUUUAUUUUAAAAUACUGAGCUAAGCUGAAGAGAUCUGUGCUUUUAUUCUAAGCCUCCAACCAAGAUUUUAAACUAAA